ACGAGAGUGCUAGUGUUAGAGGGUUUCCGCCCUUUAGUGCUGCAGCAAACGCAUUAAGCACUCCGCCUGGGGAGUACGGCCGCAAGGCUGAAACUCAAAGGAAUUGACGGGGGCCCGCACAAGCGGUGGAGCAUGUGGUUUAAUUCGAAGCAACGCGAAGAACCUUACCAGGUCUUGACAUCUCCUGACAACCCUAGAGAUAGGGCGUUCCCCUUCGGGGGACAGGAUGACAGGUGGUGCAUGGUUGUCGUCAGCUCGUGUCGUGAGAUGUUGGGUUAAGUCCCGCAACGAGCGCAACCCUUGAUCUUAGUUGCCAGCAUUCAUUUGGGCACUCUAAGGUGACUGCCGGUGACAAACCGGAGGAAGGUGGGGAUGACGUCAAAUCAUCAUGCCCCUUAUGACCUGGGCUACACACGUGCUACAAUGGAUGGUACAAAGGGCUGCGAGACCGCGAGGUUAAACGAAUCCCAUAAAACCAUUCUCAAUUCGGAUUGCGGGCUGGCACUCCUCUGCCUGAAUCCCGAAUCUCUGCUAAUAUACGAUCCUCAUGCCUCGGAGUAUAAGUCCGCGUCUCUUGUCCACACCGACCUUCACACAACGAGAGUUCGUAAC
rnacentral:rRNA from 1 species